GUUUUUAAUCUCAGCUAUACAAUAUUGUGCAUGUUAAGCGCCAUGCCAAUGGUUCUGAUAUAUCUAUUGUUGUGCAUCCGGCUAACUAAUAAUGUUGUAUUUUUGUAUUUUCAGGAUACAUCUCGCACAGAGGAGAUCAAAAGGUCCAGGUCAUUGUUUUGCUAUGUAUCUGUGGCGUAUGCUCAAACUUUUUCUCAUAACGAUUGUUGGGGGUGUGAACUUAUUAGUGGUUUAUGUUGGAAGCUAGCGAGUUCUCUGAUAAUUUUUCUGAACUGGUGUCUUUUGGCUGAAGUAAUUCCAAUGCGAGAACUGAGCUAAACUUCAUGUUGUACUCAUUGGCAUCAGAGCCGUGUUACGGAAACUGAGUCAUCAUCACAUCAUUUCCAGGAUGGAUGUAGGAGCUUGAGAAAUGCAGUAGACUUGAAAACGUUGCUGAACUUUUGAAGGACGUUCGAGUGGGUUUGCUUAAGAGUGUUUCUGCAUCAGAGGAAACAACAACCGGUUGUCCAAACAAGUAAUUAGUCAAGGAGCUCAAGUCUAGAGGAAAAUAACUUAGGAUAUUGCCACAAUAUCUUGCUGAAGUUGAUCACGUGUAUAUUAGAUAUUUCCAACAAGAGUGCACCAUAUAUGAGGAAAAUGCUUAACCCUUGAUUAUGAGAGUGCUUGACUAUAGAUGGCAGGAGUGUUGAACCGGGAUUUAGUAACAUGUUGUCAUUUCCAGUCAGGCAACUAUGGGCUUCACUCCUUUGUUU